rnacentral:rRNA from 1 species
AAUGAACGUUGGCGGCAUGGAUUAGGCAUGCAAGUCGAGCGAGAAGAGUUUUGAAGCUUGCUUUAGAACUCGGACAGCGGCGAAAGGGAGAGUAACGCGUAGUUAUGUGCCCUAGGGUCCGGAAUAGCCACGGGAAACUGUGGGUAAUGCCGGAUAACAUCCCCGGAUCAAAGGUGUGAUUCCGCCCUAGGAGCAGACUGCGUCCUACUAGCUAGUUGGUGGGGUAAUGGCCCACCAAGGCAAGGAUGGGUAGCGGGUGUGAGAGCAUGACCCGUCACACUGGGACGGAGACACUGCCCAGACAGCUACGGGUGGCUGCAGUCGAGAAUCUUCGGCAAUGGGCGAAAGCCUGACCGAGCGAUGCCGCGUGCGGGAUGAAGGCCCUCGGGUUGUAAACCGCUGUCGUAGGGGAGGAAGGUUCCGUGAAGAGCGGAAUUUGACCUAUCCUAGGAGGAAGUACGGGAUAAGUUCGUGCCAGCCGCCGCGGUAAGAC